GGCGUGGUAGCCAAGUGGUAAGGUGUUGGUCUUGUAAACCAAAGAUCACAGGUUUGAACCCCGUCUGUGCCU